rnacentral:rRNA from 1 species
AGGACGAACGCUGGCGGCGUGCCUAAUACAUGCAAGUCGAGCGAAUGAAGAGGAGCUUGCUCCUCUGAUUUAGCGGCGGACGGGUGAGUAACACGUGGGCAACCUGCCCUGUAGACUGGGAUAACUUCGGGAAACCGGAGCUAAUACCGGAUAAUCGAUUUCACCUCAUGGUGAAAUGUUGAAAGGCGCAUCUCGCGUCACUACAGGAUGGGCCCGCGGUGCAUUAGCUAGUUGGUGGGGUAACGGCCUACCAAGGCAACGAUGCAUAGCCGACCUGAGAGGGUGAUCGGCCACAUUGGGACUGAGACACGGCCCAAACUCCUACGGGAGGCAGCAGUAGGGAAUCUUCCACAAUGGACGAAAGUCUGAUGGAGCAACGCCCGCGUGAGUGAUGAAGGUUUUCGGAUCGUAAAACUCUGUUGUAAGGGAAGAACAAGUACGUUAGGAAAUGAACGUACCUUGACGGUACCUUAUUAGAAAGCCACGGCUAACUACGUGCCAGCCGCCGC